rnacentral:rRNA from 1 species
UACGGAGGGAGCUAGCGUUGUUCGGAAUUACUGGGCGUAAAGGGCACGUAGGCGGCUCGGCAAAUCGGUCGUGGAAUCCCGACGCUUACCGUCGGAACGGCGGCCGAAAAUACCGGGCUCGAGGGCGUGAGGGGUCACUGGAACUCCUGGUGAAGCGGUGAAAUGCGUAGAUAUCAGGAGGAACGCCGGAGGCGAAAGCGAGUGACUGGCGCGUUCCUGACGCUGAGGUGCGAAAGCUAGGGGAGCAAACAGG